rnacentral:rRNA from 1 species
UGGCAAGCGUUGUCCGGAUUUAUUGGGCGUAAAGCGAGUGCAGGCGGUUCAAUAAGGCUGAUGUGAAAACCUUUGGCUCAACCGGGGAAUUGCAUCAGAAACUGUUGAACUUGAGUGCAGAAGAGGAGAGUGGAACUCCAUGUGUAGCGGUGGAAUGCGUAGAUAUAUGGAAGAACACCAGUGGCGAAGGCGGCUCUCUGGUCUGCAACUGACGCUGAGGUUCGAAAGCGUGGGUAGCAAACA